CUCACGAGAGCUGAUGGCUUUAUAUAUGGGAGUUUGCCUGCACAAGCUCUUUUGCCUGCGGCCACCUAAGACGUAACUUUGCUCCUUAUUCGCUUUCCGCCAUGAUUGUGAGGCCUCCCCCACCAUGUGGAACUCUUCUUCUAGAUGGGAUCGAACUUCCUCCUUUCGCUCAGAGAGGUUUGAUUGUCUGAAGCCUUCUUCUCUCAACUUGUCAAAGUCAUUCUCCAUCUAGGUUUGUCCGUUGCUGAAAACGUCCUAAUAAGAAGAUAAGGUGACCGAAUAAGGGGAUUACUUGGCAGAGAUAUGAGAGAACUGGGUUCUUGACCCCACUUUGCCAUGAACUUGGGGGAAAAUUCACCACUGAGCUCAAGCAUUGUAAGACAUCCUGUUCUAAGGAGGGAUGAGGACAAAUCCUCUACUGUUCCCAACAGUUGCACAGGGCACUGCAUCUACAGUUACCCUGAGAACUACAAGCAGGAGGUGAAAGAGCUGAGUCAGCCAAGGUCAUCUGGGGACCUAUCCACUGGCAGGCAGAGGAGCCUUUCCCUGUGGCCACCACUGCCUUCAGCCCAUAAGGGAGUUUUUCCAGGCUACCUCCGAUGAUCACUUAAAGCUCAACAGCUCUUCAUUCAGCUUGUGAGAUAGCCAGUCAUGGGACUGCUGGAUCAACUGGUAGGUACUAUUUUUAGUUAUUUGAGAAAUCUCUUACUGUUUUCCAUAGAGGUUGCACUGGUUUACAUUCCCACCAAUAGUGGAUAACUGUUCCCUUUCCUCUGCAUCCCUGCCAACAUCUGUUGUUUUUUGACUUUUUUAUGAUAGCCAUUUUGACUGGUGUGAGAUGGUAUCUCGUUGUGAUUUUAAUUUGAAUUUCUCUGAUAAUGGGCAAUUUUGAACAUUUCUUCAUGUAUUUAUUGGGCAAUUGUAUGUUUUCUUUUGAAAAAUCUCUGUUCAUGUCCUUUGCCCACUUUUUAAUAGAGUUGUUUGUUUUUUCUUGCUGAGUUGAGUUCCUUGUAGAUUACUGAUAUUAGUCCUUUGUCAGAUGCAUGGUUUGCAAAUACUUUUUCCUAUUCUGUGCAUUGUCUCUUUACUCUGUUGCCUAUAUUUUUUGCUGUGCGGAGCUUUUUAGUUUAAGUCUCAUUUGUCUGUUUUUGCUGCAUUUAAUUUCGAGUUAUUAGUCAUAAAUUCUUUGCCUAGACCAAUGUCCA
rnacentral:lncRNA from 1 species